ACCCGAAGGCCCUCAGUUACUCCCCAGCCCCUCGGCGGCAGUGGGGCCGCCCCCGUCCUGCGCGGCCAGGCCGGCCGGGCCGAGGCAGCCGUGCGUAAAAAGGCACGUAGCGCCUCCCACUCGCUUUCUCUUAUUCUCAGUCCCGUCUGCAGCGACUCUCGCCUGCGCCCGGCAGCCGUGCUCCGCGGAGGCGGCGAUCAAGGCCCCGAAGGCGGCCAGACGCGCAGGCCCCGGAGGCCCCCAGCACGGUGCCAGCCGCCGUGGGGGUGGCGGGCGGGCCCCGAAGGCUUUCCGUCGGGGCCGUCCCCGCUUUCCAGAGAGCUCGUGCUCGUUGAGUCCCCGUCUAGAGGCUACACGCCCAAUGCGUGUGACAGAUUGAGUCACAAGCUGUACCAACUGAGCGAGCCAGGUUGGAAGACACUUUUCCAUUUUGCAUUCCCACGAGGAGUGAAUGAGGAUUCAUCACUCGCUCUACAACCUCGCCAGCAUUUGGUGAUUUGAGUAGUUCCAGAUUUUGAUCUUUCUAAAUGGAAUUUAAACUUUCUAAAUCCUGGAGUGUAAUGGACCCGAUGUGUGAACCGUGUAUCGAGGGACCACGGAUUCCUUCCGCGUGCCCUGUCCGCUCUGCAAAUCUCAGAACCCCUCCCCGUAGUCUUCAAAACACCUUUCCUGCUGACAGUUGCCUGUACCUACACCUGUGUCCGUAUCUAUGUCAUCCACACCUGCUCCACACACAUUCUCCAGGCCCAAGGUGCACGUGCCGAGCUACCUUAGUCCCUCUAAAUCCUCUCGUCUUCCCUACCCUGGGUUUUAUCUGCUGAUUCCCUCAUUCUUAUAAAACACAGAAAUACCAGAAUUUACUGCCAAUUUUCUGCAUU